rnacentral:rRNA from 1 species
AAUGGUCGGUACAGAGGGUUGCCAAGCCGCGAGGUGGAGCCAAUCCCUUAAAGCCGAUCGUAGUCCGGAUCGUAGUCUGCAACUCGACUACGUGAAGUCGGAAUCGCUAGUAAUCGCAGAUCAGCAUGCUGCGGUGAAUACCGUUCCCGGGUCUU